AGGAAACUGGUCAUCCCUGGGCUCUUUAGGAUGCCUCCAGAUUGGUGCAUCUCCUGCCUGAGCCUCUGUGGCAGGUGGAAUCAUGGGCUAUGGAAUGUCUUGAAAUUCCAGAGUCUCCUACCAGACUGCUUGAUUUAUUUCAGUGACAGCUGUGGCCUGUGGUCUGUGGCCAAGAAAAACUGUUGGAGAAAUUUAAAAGGGUGUUACCCUCACAGAAACCUAAAAGAAAAAGGAUGCAGACUCCAAGCCUUUAUUAAAACACAAACAUAGGACAGCCUCAAAAAUAAGGAGGAGGCUGCAAAGAACCAGACCCAAAACAAUGUUUUUUUUAUGCACUCCCAGUUUACACAUGUCAUUUCUAUUCACCGCUCAAAGAAUCAUAGCAAUGUUAGCAGCUGCAACCCAAUGUCGUCAUCCUGGACCAAUCAAAAUCAUUUGGCUCUUCAGAUCAGCCCUCAUCAUAAUAUCAUGUGAUUACAUAUAACCAUUUUUCAGCAUCCUUCUUUAUUAAGACUUUGACUAAUUUUCCUGUUCAUUAAAUGUCUUCCAAGAUCCUCAUUCAUCUGUCUACAACUCAUGAUUAAUCACCAUUGCCAUGUCUAGCCAAUUCUCUUUUCAUGCAUAGACUCUAAUAGUUUAUUCUUUUCAGUGUCCUGCAAUGGACAUUCACGAUGUGCAGGACUUAAAAGAAGCUAGUUCUGUACUGCAGAAGGCAGGUACAUAUCCUUUUGGUUUAGCUAGGCCAUAAACUAAAAAGAAAAUGGAAUCAUCAAAAUGAAACUAUUAUUUUCUACAACAUGUCUGCCACUGCUUACUUUGGGAUAUAAAGGCCCUCAGACAGAAAUCCCACCCACCUCAGUUAUCCCUGCAAGCCCAUCCCUUAUUAGGAAUGAAAUGUAAUACAUGUUUUCCAUGGAUUUGGAUCAGUCACAAACUUAAAGAAGCAUAUAGGCCUAUGGAGAUUUAUGAAAUUGUAAAAUUAAAAGAAAGGAACAAUCAACAGUGGAAGGUUAUAACUUCCAGUGGUUAUUUCAUUUACAAUUAAGUUGGAUGAAAAGACUUAUGGUACGCAACAAAAGAAGAUGGAUUCUGAGAUGCAAUGAUAUAAUAAAGAUGAACAUGUUAUAUCAAAAAUGUAGAAACUUUCCCUAAAAUUUGAAAGUGAAGAGGAAUGCAUUCAAAUUGGUGCAUCUCCUGCCCACCCCCUGCGGCAUUUGGGAUUAUGCCUCUGUGGAAUCAUGGGCUGUGAGAUUUCACGAGAUUUCACAAUCUCCCGCCAGAAGGCUUGAGUCAUGUCAAUGAUGGCUGUGGUUUGUGGCUGAGAAGGUUUGCUUCUGCUUACUCUGGGAUCUAAAGGCGCUAUGACAGGAAUCUUGUCCUCCUCUAUUAUCUCUGCAAGCCCAUCCCUUAUUAAGAAUGAAACGUAAUACAUGUUUGCCACGGUUCUCACAAAAGAGUUUGGAUCAGUCAAAAACUUAAAGAAGCAUAUUGGUUUAUUACCACAUUCUCUAUAAUAGCCUUUUAACCAUGCCAAUGUCCUCUCUUCUUCUUUCUUUCUUUGUUUGUUCGUCUAGUUUUUCAAAUUCUGCUUCCAUUGCCAUUGCUUCUUCCAAGGAUGAAUUAUUUUGCCUAACUUGCACCCCCUCAGCAGGAGGUUCAGCACCAAAGCCAGUGGUUCCCCCCUCUGAAGGCCUUUGGCGAGUCUCCAUCGCUCCUCUCUCUU